UAGGGAAUCUUCGGCAAUGGACGAAAGUCUGACCGAGCAACGCCGCGUGAGUGAAGAAGGUUUUCGGAUCGUAAAACUCUGUUGUUAGAGAAGAACAAGGACGUUAGUAACUGAACGUCCCCUGACGGUAUCUAACCAGAAAGCCACGGCUAACUACGUGCCAGCAGCCGCGGUAAUACGUAGGUCGCAAGCGUUGUCCGGAUUUAUUGGGCGUAAAGCGAGCGCAGGCGGUUUCUUAAGUCUGAUGUGAAAGCCCCCGGCUCAACCGGGGAGGGUCAUUGGAAACUGGGAGACUUGAGUGCAGAAGAGGAGAGUGGAAUUCCAUGUGUAGCGAUGAAAUGCGUAGAUAUAUGGAGGAACACCAGUGGCGAAGGCGGCUCUCUGGUCUGUAACUGACGCUGAGGCUCGAAAGCGUGGGGAGCAAACAGG
rnacentral:rRNA from 1 species